UCUGCCAGUUUGUGGACAAGGAGCAGGAGGAGGGCAGAAAACUCUGCGGUCUGACCGAAGCCCCGAAGUAGGGGGCUCCCGCCCACCCCCUCGAGAGGAGAUACGUACCCCACCCCACCAGGCCCUGGGGGGGCAUACCUCACCAGCACACCCAGACACACCUGACGAAGGAGACACUGUGAUGAGCCCUGAUCUUCAUUCCAGCUGAGCUCUCACUCGCUACUUUGCAGUCAUUGCUGGGGUUUAGGCUGAGCAGCUGGAUUUUUCAUGUGCAACAUUUUCCUUUGCCACUUGCAAUCUGCAACAUUUUAUGAGCUAAAGUCUACAGAUGUCUAAUAAAGCAAGAGGCAUCGAUCGUUUCACCAGUUGAGUUAAGUUACUGGACGCCCUUAGAGGCUCUGUGUCAAACCCUGUCAGAGUGCCUCUGUAGCGCCCCCUGGUGGAAGAGCAAGGGAGAAUCGUGCAUCUUGAAAGACCCGCUGGGCAGCAGGUGAGGGGAUCGAACGCUCGGGGCUUCUCUCUUCGUACGUCUUUAGACUUGACGCCUGUUGUUACUGUACACCAGCAAGAACAGCGUAGAAGGAAAAUAAAAAGACCUUCACACAG